GCUAUAAAUCCAAGACCUAUGAAUGUCGCAGACUGCCCAUGAAUCUUUCCCACUAUUUCCAAGCUGCUUGAACUCAAAACGACAAUACGAGCAAUCUCUCAACUCUCUCUGCAACGAUCACACGUCUAUUCCCUCCCACUUAUGAAGAUCUGCCUGUCACUUCUUUCCUUGUGAGCCUGGCCCCCUAUUCCCUUGUUAAACUGAUGGAUCUUGAAGGCAAGACAUUUGGAAGGGAGAUUUUGUGAUAUUGUCAACAAAGUACAAAGGAUGUGCUAUUGUCUUGUAUUUACCUCUACAAAAGGGAAAAAAGUGCUGUGAUAGUGUCCUUCAGACCUCGGGUUUUUCUGUAUUGUCUUUGAAGCGAGCAAAAUGCAAUGCGUCUUCUUUUGUAAGUUCA